GUGGAGUGCCUGGGCAGCGAGAACCGCUGUUUUUUACACAACGAAACCAAUUACAAGGACAAGAUUUUACUGAAAGGCUGCAUUUCACAAGACAUCUGCCGGUCAGAGUUUCUGUUCCUCCGCGGCUCCGGCUCUGUGUCGAUCUCUUGCUGCACCGGUCACCUGUGCAACACGGCGCCACGCCUCGGAGAAGCCGGACUGUUCCUGUUUCUGGUCACUUCGCUUGCUGCUGUUUUUGUCGUGUAGCGAGGGCGCUAAUCUUCCCCCGGAGCUCAAAACUUACGGCACUGACUUGUUAAUGUUACUUCGACUGGCUGUGAACGAAAGAACGCAUACCUAAUUACCUAUUUCGACUUUUCUCCUCCGAAUUGUUUUCUAUUACUCCCUUGUCUGCAAUGAGCUCUUCCUGGUCGGGUGAUCUCAGUCACGCGUGAUCCCGGAGGGACCAUUACUAUGUAGUCCGAAGUGGCUACCCAGUGGGCAAAAGACGUAUAAUAUAUGUCUAUUAAACGCAUACCUUAGACGUCUAAA